rnacentral:rRNA from 1 species
UCCUGGCUCAGGACGAACGCUGGCGGCGUGCCUAAUACAUGCAAGUAGAACGCUGAAGAGAGGAGCUUGCUCUUCUUGGAUGAGUUGCGAACGGGUGAGUAACGCGUAGGUAACCUGCCUGGUAGCGGGGGAUAACUAUUGGAAACGAUAGCUAAUACCGCAUAAAAUGGAUUAUCGCAUGAUAAUCAAUUGAAAGGUGCAAAUGCAUCACUACCAGAUGGACCUGCGUUGUAUUAGCUAGUUGGUGGGGUAACGGCUCACCAAGGCGACGAUACAUAGCCGACCUGAGAGGGUGAUCGGCCACACUGGGACUGAGACACGGCCCAGACUCCUACGGGAGGCAGCAGUAGGGAAUCUUCGGCAAUGGACGGAAGUCUGACCGAGCAACGCCGCGUGAGUGAAGAAGGUUUUCGGAUCGUAAAGCUCUGUUGUAAGAGAAGAACGAGUGUGAGAGUGGAAAGUUCACACUGUGACGGUAUCUUACCAGAAAGGGACGGCUAACUACGUGCCA